AGGAUGGAGACGACGGAUGUUAUCAGCAGGCUCACCUUUCUUCCGCAUCUCAUGGUGUAACUGGAGAGGAUGCAACCGAGGGGGAUACCCAGCGCCGUGGCGGUAGCUGCGGAUUAAUCAUGAUUCAAUUUUAAGAUGUAGAAGGUAUGCUGACGAGGCAGAGAGGAAGAUCGACGUCGCCGAACACUGACCUCCCUCUACUACUCGGCUGUGUCCUUGGCCUUGAAACCAGAACGUGUUUCGGGAGAUGAAAUCCAACCAGCAGCACAGGUGGAACGAUAAUUGCUUGGCCGUCAUAGCGAACGUAAGCCUUGCCUUUACUUUCGCUCCAUUACGGAAUCGGAGAACGCCCGAGUGAAGAGCAAUCCUGUGCGUUAGUAUUACUGAUGGUGUGCAGACGAUAAUUAUAUUUUAAUUGCAAAAUUAAGUUGCCUGAAAGAGUAGUUUCAAAUUCAACCAUUACACCAUCUGUUCAAAAACGCCGGAAACUAUUCGAUAACUUACCGAUUGAUUAUCCAAAAUAAGGAGAACUAGUGGCGCUACCUGUUAAAAGGGGUAGUAGCAGCUUGUUGAGUUAUCGAUCGAACGCCCAGCAGUCGCUUAUGCCUGAUGUCUUACCGACUGUCGGAAGCUUGACCGAUAAUACCGACAAGAGACUCUCUCUUCUCGAUACUACAGCAUUCGGCUUCGAUUCUUGGUUAUAACUGUACCGACCCCUGCUGACUUGACGUUCAGUUGUCGGUGCUGGGCGGAUUGCAGGUUUCAGGCGCUUUUUACUCGAAUUUUUAAACGUUAAUUACUGGAAAACAAAGCCGCAAACGCUAUUUCGUUAUUCUUGAUUUUCGUCUUAUUUUGAUCCCUAGAAUCACCCCUUAAAAUUUUGCCCACCUGUUGUCGAUCACCCUGAAUAUGUAUACAUACCCCACAUUCAAUAACUGUUUGAUCUUUAAUAAAUUAUAAACAUAAUAUACAUGAAAAUCAAACUUCAAACACAGUAAUUACUUAAGAAUAUGAAAAAUUUGACCUGGAAGAAGGUGCGACCUCCUCAGUCUUAUACCGACAGCCGAGGGAUGUGGAUCAACUUGUCAAAUACACUAAUUUCCUUUCGGAGUUUAUUUAAUUUACUUUAUUCAUUUCCUUUGCUUACUAAAUAAGUUCAUCAAAGGGGAAUAAUAUUUAUGAUUUUACCCCUCUUCUGAGCCUUGGUUUUUCCAGUUAUUUAUUAUUUUAUCCCUCUUCUGAGCCUUGGUUUUUCCAGUUAUUUAUUACUUUAUCCCUCUUCUGAGCCUUGGUUUUUCCAGUUAUUUAUUAUUUUAUCCCUCUUCUGAGCCUUGGUUUUUCCAGUUAUUUAUUAUUUUAUCCCUCUUUAUAGUCCAAAGCCAAUUCUGUUCAGUUAUUAUCCUUCUUUAUGGGUCGAGAUCCACGCUUCCUAAUUAUAUAUUAUUUUAUUUCUUUUUAUAAGCCUCACGGGGAUCACCCUUCCCAGUUACUUAUUAUCCUAUUCCUUUUUAUGAACCAAGGCUUCCCAUCGCAGUUAUUUAUUUUUUCAUUCUUUUCAUGGGACUUGAGGAGAUUACAUCUUUGCAUCACUUACGUCUCUGCAUCCCUUACAUCUCUACAACAGUUACAUUCCUGAUUUCUUUAUAUCCCUGUAACUCUUACAUUACUGCAGUCCUUACAUCAUUGCAUCCCUUUCAUCCCUGUAUUCCUCACAUCUCUGCAUCCCUCAUAUUCCUGCAUUCCUUACAUCCCUGCAAACCUUAUACCACUGCAUACACCCGCAUUCCCAAACUUUUUGCAAAAUUUAGUCCCCCUUUCAACCACCAGAUGGCGCUGAUUCGACGCCGAAAAUUUAGUUCAAAUUUUUGCCGCUAGAGGGCCAAAAUAUCUGCAAAAUUUAGUUC